rnacentral:ncRNA from 1 species
UUUGCUGGUUUGGUGGCAAGGGGAUAGUUUUACGACUGCUUUUAGUGAGUCGAUUCAGGAAAACACGAUCCUUGAUGUUCAUAUGCGUAAUGAAGGUGAACGUUGCUGCGUUUCACAAGUCCGAUCUUGAUAUUAUUGGAUAAAUUUGAGCAAUACCAUGCAUGCUGGGGCCUGAAAGAUGAUUGACCAUAUUUGAAUAGGCCAGAGGAAAGUCCGGUAAAGACUCAUAGCAGUUCUGAUGUGCAUAUUGACCAUCAAAUUUGGGAUAGGGGUUAAAAGCCUAAGCGGGCCAUCUAAUAGCUAA